UCCCUAGUAGCUCAGACAGUGGAGCAUAUGCCUGCAAUGCAGGAGACCCAGGUUUGAUCCCUGGGUCGGGAA
rnacentral:tRNA from 1 species